AUAGCCUUUCGAAAGAAAGAUUAAUACCCGAUAGCAUAGUAUUUCCGCAUGGUUUCACUAUUAAAGAAUUUCGGUUAUCGAUGGGGAUGCGUUCCAUUAGAUAGUUGGCGGGGUAACGGCCCACCAAGUCAACGAUGGAUAGGGGUUCUGAGAGGAAGGUCCCCCACAUUGGAACUGAGACACGGUCCAAACUCCUACGGGAGGCAGCAGUGAGGAAUAUUGGUCAAUGGACGAGAGUCUGAACCAGCCAAGUAGCGUGAAGGAUGACUGCCCUAUGGGUUGUAAACUUCUUUUAUACGGGAAUAAAGUGGAGUAUGCAUACUCCUUUGUAUGUACCGUAUGAAUAAGGAUCGGCUAACUCCGUGCCAGCAGCCGCGGUAAUACGGAGGAUCCGAGCGUUAUCCGGAUUUAUUGGGUUUAAAGGGAGCGUAGGCGGGUGCUUAAGUCAGUUGUGAAAGUUUGCGGCUCAACCGUAAAAUUGCAGUUGAUACUGGGCGCCUUGAGUGCAGCAUAGGUAGGCGGAAUUCGUGGUGUAGCGGUGAAAUGCUUAGACAUCACGAAGAACUCCGAUUGCGAAGGCAGCUUACUGGACUGUAACUGACGCUGAUGCUCGAAAGUGUGGGUAUCAAACAGGAUUAGAUACCCUGGUAGUCCACACAGUAAAC
rnacentral:rRNA from 1 species